rnacentral:rRNA from 1 species
CAGCAGCCACGGUAAUACGAAGGGUGCAAGCGUUAAUCGGAAUUACUGGGCGUAAAGCGUGCGCAGGCGGUUUCGUAAGACAGAUGCGAAAUCCCCGGGCUUAACCUGGGAACUGCAUUUGUGACUGCGAGGCUAGAGUGUGUCAGAGGGGGGUGGAAUUCCACGUGUAGCAGUGAAAUGCGUAGAUAUGUGGAGGAACACCGAUGGCGAAGGCAGCCCCCUGGGAUAACACUGACGCUCAUGCACGAAAGCGUGGGGAGCAAACAGGAUUAGAUACCCCAGUAGUCCCUGUCUCUUAUAC